rnacentral:tRNA from 2 species
GGCUUUGUAGUGUAAUUAAAACGUCAGGCUGCAAUCCUGAAAAUGUAGACAUACCUGAGCUU